rnacentral:lncRNA from 1 species
GAUAGGGUAGGGUGCACAUGAUGAGCAUGACGCACAACAGACGUACCAGCUAAGGUUACCAUGGCGCCUGCAGAGUCAGGUGUGGAGAAGGCAAAAUGGUUGUCUGUGUGCUGGAGAGCAGAGGACCCAGCUGAAAGCCAGAGGCCCAGAGCUCACGGCAGUCCCAUGCGAGUCUGUUGAAAGCCAAAGGGCCAGCGUUGGACGGCUGCAGAGUCUGCCCUGGAGAUGGAAGCCCAGCGUGACGGUGAAGGCCUGAGCUCCUCGGCAGACUCAAGACUUCUGUCUUCUUGCCCUUGUAUUCCACCAGGCGGGGCCUGCUGGUUGGUGCCGCCCACUUCCGGGGUGGGGCUUCGUCUCUAGCGGUCCCUCGCGCAGAUGCACCCAGUCUGCCCUAAUCCAGUCGCUCACCAGGUGGACCCCACAGUGCAUCGUCCUGACAGCCAUUCUUAUGGGACCCUGCGGUGAGCCCCGCCCACCGGCUUUGGGCAGAGCGGGAGUCAGAGUCCAGUUACAGCCAGCCUCCGGCACGCACAGCAUCCUGAGCACUUCUGAAUCAAAAUGUCAACUUCUUCAUCCUCUAAAAUGACAGGGCGAGCACCUCUCAGCUGCAAGCUCAGCCCUGGAGGGUACAAAACCUCGUCCUGUGUCUGUAGCUGCCCUGGAGAAUACGCAGGGCCAGCCCGGCAGAGGCGCCGACCGCUGGACUUAUUUAUGUCUCCG